rnacentral:tRNA from 1 species
GCGAAAGUGGCGGAAUCGGCAGACGCGCCAGACUUAGGAUCUGGUGGGGUAACACCCGUGGGGGUUCGAAUCCCCCCUUUCGCA